AGUGAACGCUGGCGGUAGGCCUAACACAUGCAAGUCGAACGGCAGCACAGUAAGAGCUUGCUCUUACGGGUGGCGAGUGGCGGACGGGUGAGGAAUACAUCGGAAUCUACUUUUUCGGGGGGGAUAACGUAGGGAAACUUACGCUAAUACCGCAUACGACCUACGGGUGAAAGCAGGGGAUCUUCGGACCUUGCGCGAAUGAAUGAGCCGAUGUCGGAUUAGCUAGUUGGCGGGGUAAAGGCCCACCAAGGCGACGAUCCGUAGCUGGUCUGAGAGGAUGAUGAGCCACACUGGAACUGAGACACGGUCCAGACUCCUACGGGAGGCAGCAGUGGGGAAUAUUGGACAAUGGGCGCAAGCCUGAUCCAGCCAUACCGCGUGGGUGAAGAAGGCCUUCGGGUUGUAAAGCCCUUUUGUUGGGAAAGAAAAGCAGCAGGUUAAUACCCCGCUGUUCUGACGGUACCCAAAGAAUAAGCACCGGCUAACUUCGUG
rnacentral:rRNA from 1 species